rnacentral:rRNA from 1 species
GUGCCAGCAGCCGCGGUAAUACCGGCAGCCCGAGUGAUGGCCGAUAUUAUUGGGCCUAAAGCGUCCGUAGCUGGCCGAACAAGUCCGUCGGGAAAUCCACGUGCUUAACGCGUGGGCGACCGGCGGAAACUGUUCGGCUUGGGGCCGGAGGACCCGAGGGGUACGUCCGGGGUAGGAGUGAAACCCUGUAAUCCUGGACGGACCACCGAUGGCGAAAGCACUUCGAGAAAACGGAUCCGACAGUGAGGGACGAAAGCCAGGGUCUCCAACCGGAUUAGAAACCCGUGUAGUCC